rnacentral:rRNA from 1 species
UUUUUUGGAGAGUUUGAUCCUGGCUCAGAGUUAACGCUGGCGGCGUGCCUAACACAUGCAAGUCGAGCGAAGAGUACCAGAGUACCGGGCUCUUAGCGGCAGACGGGUGAGUAAUACUUAAACAAUCUGCCCUCGAAUGGGAGACAACCAAGCGAAAGUUUGGCUAAUACCCCAUACAAUCCUCUUGAGGCAUCUCAAGGGGAUGAAAGGCCCGCAAGGGUCGUUCGAGGAGGAGUUUGAGUCCUAUCAGCUAGUUGGCGGUGUAACAGACCACCAAGGCUAUGACGGGUAGCCGAUCUAAAAGGAUGACCGGCCACA